ACAAAACCUAGAUUUUGGGUGAAAUCAUUUGGGUAAAAAAAAAAAAGAGUUACCAUCUUCUUCCCCAAGUCACCUUCAUUACCAACGACCUUUUCCGGCGACCUCAUUCCGGCGGUUUCGCAAGGCGGUCUCCACGGCCGUCUUACUCCUCUUCAUCUCGUUUUCGAGGGAGAGCGGCGCGGUUUGAGGCGGUGAAGGCAGCGGCGCGGGUGAAGUCAGCGGCGUUAGAAAAUCUAUGUGGGCUUCCGGUGCGGGUGAAGCAAGCGGCGCGGUCUGAGGCAGUGACGACGACGCCUAGGUCAGAGAAGGUGGCGGCAGCGGCGCGGUGGGGCGGAGGCGUGAAGACGGCGGCAAAAUUCUAGGGUUUGACUUGGCUGGAUCUAUGUUCGGGGGGGCUUCCGGCGCGGGUGAAGGCAGCGGCGCGUUCGGUCUGAGACGGUGACGGUGGCGGCCCGGUGGCGGAGGUGUGAAAAUGGCGGCUGAAUUCUAGGGAUUGAGUUUUUUGAAAUUUAGAUGUAGUAAAUUUUUUGUAGUAAUUUUAUUUGAAGUAAUUUUAUGUAAAGUAAUUUUGUAUUUUAAUUCAAAUAUAUUAAAUAAAACUUUUCAGUUUUUCUAAAUUCCAGAAAAUUUAAAUAAGGGUAGAAAAGUCAUAAAGGCUACUAUUUCCAUAUUUUGUUUUUGGUGGACAAUUUUUCCUUUUGUUAUGUGGGAUAGGCUAAUUGAGCCCAUUUACUCUAAACUUUAUA